rnacentral:rRNA from 1 species
UACGAAGGGGGCUAGCGUUGUUCGGAAUUACUGGGCGUAAAGCGCACGUAGGCGGCUUGUUAAGUUAGGGGUGAAAUCCCAGGGCUCAACCCUGGAACUGCCUUUAAUACUGGCAAUCUCGAGUCCGAGAGAGGUGAGUGGAAUUCCGAGUGUAGAGGUGAAAUUCGUAGAUAUUCGGAGGAACACCAGUGGCGAAGGCGGCUCACUGGCUCGGUACUGACGCUGAGGUGCGAAAGCGUGGGGAGCAAACAGG